UUAGGUUAUGAGAAAAAUCAAUCCUUCCAUAGCCAUGGCUAGCAACGAAGCAACAUCCUUUCAAGUUCCAUAUAUCAAAUGGAAUAUCCAUGAUAAUUGAUGUAUCAAAAUGAAGGCUCUUCUGAAAGCACAGGAUGUUUAGGACGUUGUUUAGAAAGGCUAUAAGGAACCACAAGAGGAGCAUUCCUUAACUAAAUCACAAGGAG
rnacentral:lncRNA from 1 species